AUACUUACCUGGCAAGGGAGACACCGUGAUCAAGAAGGCGGUUUACCCAGGGCGAGGCUCAGCCAUUGCACUCCGGCUGUGCUGACCCCUGCGAAUUUCCCAAAUGUGGAAAUCUCGAUUGCAUAAUUUCUGGUAGUGGGGGACUGCGUUCGCGCUCUCCCCUG
rnacentral:snRNA from 1 species